UAGGGAAUCUUCCGCAAUGGACGAAAGUCUGACGGAGCAACGCCGCGUGAGUGAAGAAGGAUUUCGGUUCGUAAAACUCUGUUGUUAGGGAAGAAAAAAUGUAUAGUAACUAUAUACAAAAGAGACGGUACCUAACCAGAAAGCCACGGCUAACUACGUGCCAGCAGCCGCGGUAAUACGUAGGUGGCAAGCGUUGUCCGGAAUUAUUGGGCGUAAAGCGCGCGCAGGUGGUUUAGAAAGUCUGAUGUGAAAGCCCACGGCUCAACCGUGGAGGGUCAUUGGAAACUAAUAAACUUGAGUGCAGGAGAGAAAAGUGGAAUUCCUAGUGUAGCGGUGAAAUGCGUAGAGAUUAGGGGGAGCACCGGUGGCGAAAGCGGCUUUUUGGCCUGCAACUGACACUGAGGCGCGAAAGCGUGGGGAGCAAACAGG
rnacentral:rRNA from 1 species